UUAAAAUGAAAAAAAAGUGAUCAGAAAUGGGUUUUCUUCGUGUUUUUCACCGAUGUACAUUAAAAUUGACAUAGGGUUUUGUACCCAAUUUAACCUAUUUUUUAGUGUACGUACUUGCAAUACAUGCGGACGUAGAUAACUUAAUCUGAGCCCAAUCUCUCCUACACUAGCACACUACACAUUAGUGUUUAGCUGGCUGGUACAUAUUUUAACCUCACUCAAUGUUUACAUUUGUUUAUAGAACCUAAUGAACGAAUCGAGAUAUGUAUCAACGCGCUCGAACUCUAAUGAUUGACGCCCACAAUAACAAUACAUUGGAAUUAUUUGUAUUUUAAAAAUAUUAUAACUUUUUUAUAAAGAUGUGCAUAAAUUAAAUAAAAUUUAAUUAAAUAAUAAACUUUUGAUUUAAUAUAUUUUUUUAUCGUCACGGAAUAUCUGCACGGUGUUCUGUUUUCGCGUCUCGUUAUCACUGCACGUCCCCGAAAAAGCUUAGUCGACAGCGCCUAGCAACAAAACAUGUUGAAAGUAGAUUCAGUGUCAACGUUUCCGGGUUUCCAGCUAAAAUGGACCAUAUUUUUUGGAACAUUGGCCAUUGUCGGCCUUGGGUAUUAUCCAACGGUCAAGGAUUGCGUGUAAAUGGACAAAACGCAAGAACUCCCGGCGUUCCAGAUUGUGGUCAGCCGAAUUCCGGAAUUGGGCGUUGGCAUUGGCAUUUCGAAGUGUGUUUUCCCAUCGAGGAUGCGGCGGUGACCGGGCAAGAGUGGAACUGGUCUGUUUCCAAACUUAACGACCAAGCUGGCUAGCAACCUGAAUCCGGAAGCAGGCAUCCACUGUUGGGAGAAUCUUCGGCGGAUAGCAGAUUUCAGCCGAACAAGCGCAGAGAAAAAAAAAGUGAAUAUCAUUUGAAGUUUAUCAUAGGAAUGUGCAUUGUUAACGUUAGUAAUGUUGUGAAUAAAGAAAAACUUAGUUUUCUUGUU